GUGAAGAACGCAGCGAAAUGCGAUAAGUAAUGUGAAUUGCAGAAUUCAGUGAAUCAUCGAAUCUUUGAACGCACAUUGCGCCCCCUGGUAUUCCGAGGGGCAUGCCUGUUCGAGCGUCAUUAUAACCCCUCAAGCUCAGCUUGGUGUUGGGGCCUGCUGCACUGGCAGCCCUUAAAAUCAGUGGCGGCGCCAUCUGGCUCUAAGCGUAGUAAUUCUUCUCGCUAUGGAGUCCUGGUGGAUGCUUGCCAUCAACCCCCAAUUUUUCUAUGGUUGACCUCGGAUCAGGUAGGGAUACCCGCUGAACUUAAGCAUAUCAAUAAGCGGAGGA
rnacentral:misc_RNA from 1 species